rfam:Stegodyphus mimosarum contig111412, whole genome shotgun sequence.
ACCUUCGUGGUGUAGUGGUCAGAACGCUCAACGCGUAAUCGAGAGGUCCGUGGUUCGAUUCCCGGCGAAGGCG